UACGGGGGGGGCAAGCGUUGUUCGGAAUUACUGGGCGUAAAGGGCUCGUAGGUGGCCAACUAAGUCAGACGUGAAAUCCCUCGGCUUAACCGGGGAACUGCGUCUGAUACUGGAUGGCUUGAGAUUGGGAGAGGGAUGUGGAAUUCCAGGUGUAGCGGUGAAAUGCGUAGAUAUCUGGAGGAACACCGGUGGCGAAGGCGGCAUCCUGGACCGGUAUUGACGCUGAGGCGCGAAAGCUAGGGGAGCAAACGGG
rnacentral:rRNA from 1 species